UAAACGGAUCUCAUUAGAUCCACCUAUACCUAGAAAAAAAUAGAA
rfam:Picea glauca, whole genome shotgun sequence.